UCUCUGUCGGAGGGGGAAACUGCACCUCUGUGUUUCUGACCACUGGGAGUGGUUAUGUGGCUUCUGGGAUCACCGCCAGAGCUCCGGGCUGAGCUUCUGCCACUUGAGACCCUGCUGCCGUCGCCGGAGAACUCUGCCGUUUUUUUAUAGUUGAUCCACCGAAGCUUCUGGCCGCUGCCGGAGCUGUUGUCGGGGCCGGUUCGAAAUCGCAACUGUUUCGUGUUGUUAUUCCGUGUUGCUAUGGUUAUUGCGAACGUGACUGGGAGCU